AAAAAUGCUGUGAUAAGAAUUAGUAGUAUAGACUAAACUUACAGAGAGAAACCCUCUAGGCUGAAAGGGGUUUUGAGUGUAAUCUAUGUGAAUGCAUCUUUGAGCACUGUCUCGAAAAUAAGUAGACGGCAGCGGGUACGCUCGUUAAAGCGUUAAGGUAUGUUUGUACCUGAAUUGAUGAGAGUCAUGAAUUUGUUUAUAUUCGUGAUAAUUAGAGUGGGACCGUAGAAUAUAACUUCUACCUCUAUG
rnacentral:ncRNA from 1 species